rnacentral:lncRNA from 1 species
CGUAGAAUGCUCUGAAGGCUGGAAAGGUUCAGCUUGCUGUGGAAUUGGAGGCGGCUGUGAAUGACUUGGCUGGUGUGAAGGGGGCUCUUGCUGACCGAUAGAAGUCUUUGGAGGAGUCCCGAGAGACCAACAAGGCAUUGGUGGCCGAAAUUGAGAAAAUGGGCAAGCAAAUAACUGAACUGAUGGGUCAGAUGAAGGUGAUGAACCGUCGAUG